rnacentral:rRNA from 1 species
AGGAUCAUUAAUGAGUUAGGGUCUCCUAGGCCCGACCUCCCAACCCUUUGCUUACUAGACCUCAGUUGCUUCGGCAGGCCCGUCUUAAUCUGACCGCUGGAGGACCGCCUAAUGCGGGUGUUGCCUCUGGCCAGUGUCUGUCGAUAGCCUAAUCUCCUAACUCUGGAUCAAUCAUGAUUUACAAUGUCUAAGUGAUUUUAUUCAAUUAAAAGCAAAAACUUUCAACAACGGAUCUCUUGGUUCUGGCAUCGAUGAAGAACGCAGCGAAAUGCGAUAAGUAAUGCGAAUUGCAGAAUUCCAGUGAGUCAUCGAAUCUUUGAACGCACAUUGCGCCCUUUGGUAUUCCGAAGGGCAUGCCUGUUCGAGCGUCAUUAUCACCCCCUCAAGCCCCUGUGCUUGGUGUUGGACGGCUUGGUGGAGCGAGUUCACACUUUCCACCCCUCCUAAAGACAAUGACGGCGGCCUGCGGAACCCCCGGUACACUGAGCUUCUUUAUUGAGCACGUAUCGGAUGAAGGGUGCCCGGGACCCGGUCUUCUCCCUCACGGGAACACUUUUUCUUUUUAAGGUUGACCUCGGAUCAGGUAGGAAUACGCG